ACUCGUUGGAUGAGUGUAAGGCAUUAGAUUGGGUUCAUUCAAUCUGAGCCCUACAUUCAUCAAGGGAUUCGU
rfam:Nicotiana attenuata strain TT scaffold05156, whole genome shotgun sequence.